rnacentral:rRNA from 1 species
UACGUAGGCAGCGAGCGUUGUUCGGAGUUACUGGGCGUAAAGGGUGUGUAGGCGGUUGUUUAAGUUUGGUGUGAAAUCUCCCGGCUCAACUGGGAGGGUGCGCCGAAUACUGAGUGACUCGAGUGCGGGAGAGGAGAGUGGAAUUCCUGGUGUAGCGGUGAAAUGCGUAGAUAUCAGGAGGAACACCGGUGGUGUAGACGGCUCUCUGGACCGUAACUGACGCUGAGACACGAAAGCGUGGGUAGCAAACAGG